rnacentral:tRNA from 1 species
CGGGGCGUAGCGCAGCUGGCUAGCGCACUUGAAUGGGGUUCAAGAGGUCGUGGGUUCAAAUCUCACCGCUCCGA